rnacentral:rRNA from 1 species
AUUGAACGCUGGCGGCAGGCCUAACACAUGCAAGUCGAGCGGAUGAAGGGAGCUUGCUCCUGGAUUCAGCGGCGGACGGGUGAGUAAUGCCUAGGAAUCUGCCUGGUAGUGGGGGAUAACGUCCGGAAACGGGCGCUAAUACCGCAUACGCCCUGAGGGAGAAAGUGGGGGAUCUUCGGACCUCACGCUAUCAGAUGAGCCUAGGUCGGAUUAGCUAGUUGGUGGGGUAAAGGCCUGCCAAGGCGACGAUCCGUAACUGGUCUGAGAGGAUGAUCAGUCACACUGGAACUGAGACACGGUCCAGACUCCUACGGGAGGCAGCAGUGGGGAAUAUUGGACAAUGGGCGAAAGCCUGAUCCAGCCAUGCCGCGUGUGUGAAGAAGGUCUUCGGAUUGUAAAGCACUUUAAGUUGGGAGGAAGGGCAGUAAGUUAAUACCUUGCUGUUUUGACGUUACCAACAGAAUAAGCACCGGCUAACUUCGUG